CGGAGUGUGGCUCAGUUUGGUAGAGCGCUGCGUUCGGGACGCAGAGGCCGUAGGUUCAAAUCCUAUCACUCCGACCA
rnacentral:tRNA from 1 species